AAGCCAGGACCCAUGGAGUCUGAUCUACAACACAAGCAGUAGCAGUUCCACAUCUCCCUACCACCUCUUAUUUCCUACGAAGUCUUUCUGCCUGAAACUGGAAAACCCGAACUAUUAUUGAGGAAGUGAAGCCCUUCCAUUUGAAUCCUGAGAAAGACGCGCUCAAAGAACCCAGCGAACAAAGGAGAGGGUUGGAGCCCACGCAAAACAUGGGUGUGAUAAAGCCACACGCGACCUGAGCCCCCACCCUCAGUAACUACUCUCCAGCGCCCACCGGGAGGAGGGGUCCGGGGAAAGGAUUGGCAUCCUCUGCUUCUGCAGAAAACAUGGCUACCAACAGCUUCUGUAUCCACCUGCGGAGGAGACUGACUGCUCUGUUAUUCCCCCAGCAUCUGUGAAGAGGCUCUGACUGGCUAAAGUGAAGGAGUCUGUAGCUUUAGGGGAAGACAGAGCCACAAGAUGGAAGGAGCUUGGAUGUCUGAACUAUUCCAUGGAGAAAAGCUGCAGCCAACGAAGAACACCUGCAAUGGACUCUUAACCUGGGGGUGACGACAACCACUGAAAUAUGCUGCAUCUUAGUCCAGGGAUUUUUAAAGUGUGGUUCCUGGAAGAGCUGGAUCAGAGUCAUCUGUGUUGAUGGUUUAACAUAAAGAUUUUCGAGCCCCAAGACUCAAGUAGGACAAGGAAUUUGAAUUUUUAAGCAGCUCACCUGACUUGUCUGUCCUCUAAUGUCUGAAGACAUCUGACCUCUGCUCUUUCAGUAAAAGCAACAAUGGUUUUAUGAGCAUUGUCGUCACAUCUCUCCACUCAAGGGAUCCUUCUCAUUUCUCCCAGCUGAGGUCACCCACAGCUGCUGCUUCUAACUGCUGGCUUCCAGCCUGCUGUCUGCCAGCUGGCUCUACCCUCUCCUAUAACACGGCAGAGAGUAGCUGUGGUCUCCUGCGUGCUCACCCUCUGCUCCCUUGGUCCUGCUCCAUGCUUUGGUCCUGCACUUAAAUUUUACAAGCAUACUCUCUUUCUCUUAAGAUAUGUAUCCAAAGGAGACGAAACUCAUGUGUUGAAGAGAUAUCCGCACCCCCAUGUUUGUUGCAGCAUUACUCACAGUAGCAAGCUAUGAAAUUGACCUGAGUGGCCAUCAACAGAUGAAUGGAUAAAGAAAAUGUACGUAUACACAAUGGAAUACUAUUCGGCCAUGAAAAAAACAAAGAAAUUCUGUUAUAUGUUACAACGUGGAUUAACCUGGAGGAUGUUAUGUUAGGUAAAAUAAGGCACGGAAAGACAAUACUGUAUAAUCUCACUCGUGUGUGGAAUCUAAGCAAGUUGAACUCAUAGAAGAAAAGAGUAGAAUGGUAUUUAUCUGAGGCUGGAGCUAUUGGACGUGGCAAGGAGGUGAUGUUGGACAAAACCGAAAUUUCAGUUACACGGGAGGAAUACGUUCAAGGGAUCUAUCGUACAACAUCAUGACUAUAGUUAAUGAUACAUUACAUUUUUGAAAAAUGCUAAGACAGUGGAUAUUAUAUGUUCUCACCACAAAAAUGAUAACUGUAAGGUAACGUGUAUGUCAAUUAAAUAGAUUUAG
rnacentral:lncRNA from 1 species